rnacentral:lncRNA from 1 species
AUGUGGUGCUGCCUUGCCUGCCCCAGGUCUGUGAUGCCCCAGUGUGUCCCCCAGAGCCCCUCCUGCUGGCCACCCCCUGCCGGGGACAACACGCAAGCGUACCUGGGGCUGAGCCUGGGGCUUCUCACGCCCUGUCUGCUCACAGCCAGGUGGGAGAAGCAGGUGCAGGGAGACGCCAGCUACAGCGGGAGCAGGGAACGAGGCUGGGAACAUCACAGCAUCACAAAGGCGACUGUGGAUCUUUCCUUGCCAGCUCAUGCCAACUCUCCUGGCUCAGAGGAGGGUGCGGACGCAAGUGGGAGACCGGGGUGGGGACAGAGAGGGUGGUUGUCGCCAGGCAGGGGUGCACUGAUCUGUUGAGGAAGGCAGCAUAUGAAGCCUGGCAGUGGGACAGUUGAAGGAACCCAGUAUUUUGUUUUUUUCAUGUUUUUUUUUUAAACAUGCUACAUCACUGUUGAAAAUAAACAAAAAUGUUUCAAAAAUAAUAUAUAAUAU